CUGGCUCAGGACGAACGCUGGCGGCGUGCCUAACACAUGCAAGUCGAGCGAUUGAGAGGUGAGAGGUGAGAGGUUAGAAGUGAGAUUAAGAAGGCUUUGGCAAAGCCAAAGCCAACAAUAAAUCUCACAUCUCGCUUCUCACAUCUCACCUCUCAAUAGCGGCGGACGGGUGAGUAA
rnacentral:rRNA from 1 species